CGGCGACCGGGGCCCCUCUGUAAGCAGGGGUGUGGACCCUUUGGCCGCCACGUUGUGUGCCCAGCCCCAUUUGCCCAGGCUGCCCGACUCUGCGGCCCGUUGCAGCAGCGUCUGGAAGUCCGCGGCGCAUGGAAGUGGAGCUCCCGCAGAAGACGGCGGAAGAAGCCACGUGUGGAACCGGGCGGCAGGAGGAUGCAAGCAGAGGGAGCAAGAAGAGGAAGCAGAAGACUGCGGCUGGGCUAAGGGAGAGGCGGCCUGGGCAAAAGCAUCUCCCUGUCACCAGGGGCAUAGUCAUGUCGCAGUAGAGCGUUGCCGGCACUUUAGGUGACCAGGCCGGCUUUGUGCUGGGCGACCUCCCUGUAAGCAGGGCUCGGGUCUUUGCUGUAGUUGGCCUUUUGCCUUGUUGCUCCUUUGGCUGCCUGGGGAAGGUGGGCGCCUGUAAGGAGGGCGAGAGCUGCUUUCUCCGCACCCGAGUGGGAAAUGGAGCUCGCUGGACCCCACGGGCACCCUGUAAGCAGGGUAGCGCCCUUCCCCUGCCACUGUUCCUCUGGCCGCUCAGCGCUGAUGCCUGCUGGUGGCCUGCCCGUGUGUUGGCCCUGUACUCGAGGCGUGUGUCACGCCACUUGGCCUUAAGUCACCUGGGAAUCCCCUUGGCGCGUUGAGGUCUGAGGCCUCCGUGCAGCCCCUUUUGUCUUGCCCCUUUUUUCCUAGGGCAGAACAGAGCUGUGUGGUAGUUGCGUGGCCAUGGCCGCCCUGUAUCCAGGGUUUGGGUCUGUGCCUGUGUGGCCCCCUGUCCUGCUGGCGACACGCCAGCGUGACAGCCCCGUACUCGGGGCGUGUGUCACAAACUGUGGAGCCCUCUGUCCCCGGAGCGGCCCGCCCCCCCUGUAAUCAGGUCUGGGGAGGCUGCGUUGGUGCAGCCGGCUGCUUUAGCCAGCUGGUGGGAGUGACCCCUCCCUGGCCCGUUAGAGGGUGCAGGUUGAGGUGCUACUUGUGGCUGGGGCGACUUCCCCGCUGUGUGGGUAGAGGUUGUUCCCUGGGCUCCUGAAGACGUGGUGAUGAUUGUGCUGCGGCCGGGCGGGCCCGCCUGUACCUCGGGCGUUGGCAGGAGCUGCGUGCUCCGUGGGGCUUUUGGACGUGGUGCGGCGUGGGGUACCGUCCUGUAGUCAGGGCUGUGCGUGCCCCCUGCGCUUAGGAGGAUGAGUUCUGAGAGACCCCCUGUACUCAGGUGGGUACCUUCGGCCCGGCCUUUCAGAGGCGUGGUGCUGAGAGAUGUGGGGUUGGGAUCUCGGCCUUUGGCCGUGCCGCCCUGCUGCCUGGCCGCUGAGAGUCGUUCCUGCUGGCGAGGGGGAAACCGAGCUCU
ensembl:lncRNA